CCUACGGGAGGCAGCAGUAGGGAAUCUUCCACAAUGGGCGAAAGCCUGAUGGAGCAACGCCGCGUGGAUGAAGAAGGUCUUCGGAUCGUAAAGCCCUGUUGUUAGAGAAGAAAGUGCGUAGGAUUAACUGUUCACGUUUCGACGGUAUCUACCCAGGAAGCAACGGCUAACUACGUGCCAGCAGCCGCGGUAAUACGUAGGUGGCAAGCGUUAUCCGGAAUUACUGGGCGUAAAGCGCACGCAGGCGGUCUUUUGAGUCAGAUGUGAAAGCCUUGGGCUUAACCCGGGUAGUGCAUCGGAAACUGGGCGGCGUGAGUGUUGAAGAGGAGAGUAGAAUUCCAUGUGUAGCGGUGAAAUGCGUAGAGAUGUGGAGGAAUACCAGUGGCGAAGGCGGCCCCCUGGUCAGAAACUGACGCUGAGGUGCGAAAGCGUGGGGAGCAAACAGGAUUAGAUACCCGGGUAGUC
rnacentral:rRNA from 1 species